AAGAAGGUAUCUCAGAUAUUAUUUAGCUGCCUCUUGAGAGAAUUAGUUGUCUGUGGCCAUUCCCUCUUUAUAUUUGGUGCAAUUUCAAAGAAUAAUUUAACUAAUUUUUUUAAAAAAUUCACAAAUAUAGACUAAAAAUGGGACCAUUUUAAUCAUUUUCAAGACAUUAGUUUAAUUGCAAAAAAAAAAAAAAGCCUUAACUAUAAUUAUAUUUUAUGGUAUAUGUAGUCCCAGGCUCAACUUUUCUCUUAAUGCCUACUCUCCCCCCACCGUCCUGGAUGCUAUCUACCCACAUGCUUGUGUUGGUACUUUAACACUCUGAGUGCUUAGCCCAACUUCUUUCCUGGGCACUGAUGACUCCUCUCAAAGGAUUACUUGAAUAAUUCACUCACGGGAUUGGUCAUUUUAACCCAGUGGUUAAAAUCUGGAGAAUUUUUUGUUUGUCACAACUUGAUUUAAAAGGUGCUCCUCACAUGUUGAGUAGAGGCUAGAGAUGCUGUGAGACAUCCUACAAUGCAUGGGGAAGGCUCCUACCACAAGGACUUACCUGGUCCUCAAUGUCAAUAGUACCUCCAUUGAGGAAUCCUGCCUUAACCCAAGAUGAAACUGAAGUAGAAGUAGUUUUCUUCCUAAACCACACUUUUCCCAUUAAGUUUCCAUUGAAUCCUAUUUAUGCCCUCCUUUGAACUUUACUACAUAUAGUCAUGUAUUACAUGGUACUGCUCUUUUGAAUUGUGAAUACUGAACCUGAGUGUUUUUUUUGGUGGUGCCGGGGGAUUGAACCCAGGGCCUUGUGCAUUCGAGGCAAGCACUUUACCAACUGAGCUAUAUCCCCAGCCACAGAUAAAUGACUGUGUCUUCAGCAAAUGAUUGAAUCCUGAAGUUUGAAGAUGAUACACUGGGGUGAUGACAAGGCUUUCCUAAGGAAUCCAGAUAAAAUUUGGGCAAAAAAGGAUGCUCUUAGAGACUUAAACAAAUUAAGCACACAUAUAAGGGGAGAGGACAGCAUGUCUUUAUUUAAAUGGGCUAAGAUUAAUGUUAAUCUUAGCCCAUUUAAAUAAAGCCUUGCAAUACAGAAAACAAGAAAUAACAGAAUGGAUGACUUAGGUUUAGGCUUAGAGGGCUCACGUUGCUGAAUUUGGGGGAUAUAGAUAGCUAUAGAGUGUUGUUUCCUGGUAGAUGUUGGGAAUUUCAUUGAACCCCACCUUCACUCAGAUGACACAAUCCUUAAGACCUUUCCCUUCCAUUUGUUUUAGUUCCAAGAAACAUCCAGAUUAAUAAGCAAGCUUCUCAUGUGGGCAAAUGGAAAUGUUUCCACCAGUUCAUAGAAAGGGAUAUUGGAUAAGAGAGGCCAGCAUUGAGGAUGCUGGACAUAGUUAUCCCACAUAAUAAACUAGUAAACUCUCCUUUUUGUUCACAUGUAAAAUUCCCAUGAACUUAGAGUAUGUCUCUUCAAACUUUU
rnacentral:lncRNA from 1 species